AUGAAGUGGUGUGAUCAUUUUCCUGGUUUCAAGGUAAUAAAUGAGGAUCCCCGCCAUUCCGACCAUAGGCCCAUCAUAGUGGAAACAGAACGAAGGUACUACAUAAGCAAGAGAGGCUUUCCCCACUUCAGAUUUGAAGUGAAUUGGGUUGAAGAAGAAAAUUGUGAAUCCAUCAUAGAGAAUGCCUGGAAUUUAGCGAUGGGAUAGGGAAUCAAUGAGACCACAUAUGGACUUAUCAAGGUGGCUAGUGAGCUUCAGAAUUGGAGUACAAAUAUUUUGGGCGAUCUGGAGAAGAGGAUAAAGACUUUAAAGAGGGAUUUAGAGAAAGUCAGAAGAGGUACAAUAUCCCCUCAACAAGUCUCUAGGGAAUGUUUUUUACGUGAGAAGCUGGAUCGCCUGGAACACCAAUGAGAUCUUUAUUGGAAGCAAUGCUCACACAUCGAUUGGCUUAAAUCAGGUGACAAAAAUACAAAGUAUUUCCAUGUCUUUUCUUCUGAAAGAAAUAAAAGAAACACAAUUCGCCGGUUAAAAAACAAUAGUGAGGGAUGGGUAGAAGGAGAUGAAAAUUUAAAAAAUCUAAUAAACGACUAUUUUGUGUCUCUAUUUACAGCCCAUGUAGAAGGAAGUAACCAAGAAACCUUAGGUUGUGUAAGAAAGAGAGUAAACCAAAGCAUGAACAACAUCCUGUGUACUAGAUUUUCCGAAGAGGAGGUGAAAGCAGCCAUUGACGCAAUAGGGGACCUGAAAGCACCAGGACCUGAUGGUAUGCCAGCCUUGUUUAUAAGCGUUACUGGCACAUGGUAG
rnacentral:rRNA from 1 species